rnacentral:rRNA from 1 species
GAUGAACGCUGGCGGCGUGCCUAAUACAUGCAAGUCGAGCGAACAGACGAGGAGCUUGCUCCUUCGACGUUAGCGGCGGACGGGUGAGUAACACGUAGGUAACCUACCUAUAAGACUGGGAUAACUUCGGGAAACCGGAGCUAACACCGGAUAAUAGUUCUAACCGCAUGGUUCGAUAGUGAAAGAUGGCUUUUCUAUCACUUAUAGAUGGACCUGCGCCGUAUUAGCUAGUUGGUAAGGUAACGGCUUACCAAGGCAACGAUACGUAGCCAACCUGAGAGGGUGAUCAGCCACACUGGAACUGAGACACGGUCCAGACUACUACGGGAGGCAGCAGUAGGGAAUCUUCCGCAAUGGGCGGAAGCCUGACGGAGCAACGCCGCGUGAGUGAUGAAGGUCUUCGGAUCGUAAAACUCUGUUAUUAGGGAAGAACAAACGUGUAAGUAACUGUGCACGUCUUGACGGUACCUAAUCAGAAAGCCACGGCUAACUACGUG